rnacentral:rRNA from 1 species
AUUGAACGCUGGCGGCAUGCCUUACACAUGCAAGUCGAACGGCAGCAUGGAGAGCUUGCUCUCUGAUGGCGAGUGGCGAACGGGUGAGUAAUGCAUCGGAACGUACCGUGUAAUGGGGGAUAACGUAGCGAAAGUUACGCUAAUACCGCAUACGACCUGAGGGUGAAAGCAGGGGACCGCAAGACCUUGCGUUAUACGAGCGGCCGAUGUCAGAUUAGCUAGUUGGUGAGGUAAAGGCUCACCAAGGCGACGAUCUGUAGCGGGUCUGAGAGGAUGAUCCGCCACACGGGGACUGAGACACGGCCCAGACUCCUACGGGAGGCAGCAGUGGGGAAUUUUGGACAAUGGGGGCAACCCUGAUCCAGCCAUGCCGCGUGAGUGAAGAAGGCCUUCGGGUUGUAAAGCUCUUUCGGCCGGGAAGAAAUCGCACAGGCUAAUACUCUGUGUGGAUGACGGUACCGGCAUAAGAAGCACCGGCUAACUACGUGCCAGCCGCCGUAAUAC